UGCCUACGGGGCGCAGCAGUGGGGAAUAUUGCACAAUGGGGGAAACCCUGAUGCAGCGACGCCGCGUGAGUGAAGAAGUAUCUCGGUACGUAAAGCUCUAUCAGCAGGGAAGAAAAAAAGUCUUUGGCUUUGGACGGUACCUGACUAAGAAGCCCCGGCUAACUACGUGCCAGCAGCCGCGGUAAUACGUAGGGGGCAAGCGUUAUCCGGAUUUACUGGGUGUAAAGGGAGCGUAGACGGCAGAGCAAGUCUGAAGUGAAAGCCCGCGACCCAACUGCGGGACUGCUUUGGAAACUGCCCGGCUA
rnacentral:rRNA from 1 species